AUGAACUUGAAUAUAAGUAUAUAUUUUGAAAAUAUAAUAAAGAGUACAAUCUCUAUUAACUU
rnacentral:tRNA from 1 species